rnacentral:misc_RNA from 1 species
GUAUCAGAGCAAAGGGACGUCCAACAAGGUAGAAUCUUUGUUUCCUUCUUAUUCUUUGUGCUUACUUUGUGUUUGUUACCUUUUUCAUAUUUGUUGUUUGGCCCUAGUUUCAUAUUUGCUUCUACUUCUUCAUCUUGCACUUGGUUCUUUCUUGCUAAACCUUGUUUUGCUUCUUAUUGUGUUUCUGUUAUUCACAUUUUUGUUCAUUGUAUGCUUGACCGAAAUUGGCUCUUGGGGUUUAGUAUGUUCUGUUUGUUUAAAAAUUUGUUUUG